AGUGAACGCUGGCGGUAGGCCUAACACAUGCAAGUCGAACGGCAGCACAGGAGAGCUUGCUCUCUGGGUGGCGAGUGGCGGACGGGUGAGGAAUACAUCGGAAUCUACCUUUUCGUGGGGGAUAACGUAGGGAAACUUACGCUAAUACCGCAUACGACCUACGGGUGAAAGUGGGGACCGCAAGGCCUCACGCGAUUAGAUGAGCCGAUGUCCGAUUAGCUAGUUGGCGGGGUAAUAGCCCACCAAGGCGACGAUCGGUAGCUGGUCUGAGAGGAUGAUCAGCCACACUGGAACUGAGACACGGUCCAGACUCCUACGGGAGGCAGCAGUGGGGAAUAUUGGACAAUGGGCGCAAGCCUGAUCCAGCCAUACCGCGUGGGUGAAGAAGGCCUUCGGGUUGUAAAGCCCUUUUGUUGGGAAAGAAAUCCUGUCGAUUAAUACUCGGUGGGGAUGACGGUACCCAAAGAAUAAGCACCGGCUAACUUCGUGCCAGCAGCCGCCGUAACAC
rnacentral:rRNA from 1 species